GAAAAUUUAGUUAAUUUAUAACAUCAGACUGUCAAACUGAAAUAAUUACUUAAAUAAUUUUUU
rnacentral:tRNA from 1 species